UCGCCCGGAAAUGCGGCUGCGACCCGCAGCCUAGUCCGGAGGCCAGUCGGUUCCCCGGGCCUGACUUCGCUUUUCACUACCCCCCUCCCGUGCUCGAAGAGACUAGGAUUCUAACCCGACGUGGGGUUAGUAGGAGGCGGUGUCUAGACGCACACUCCCGAGAAAUAGUCGUAAUUGUCUUCGUUUAUGCACUGGCCAGGCUGGUAACCCCUGCCACAAUCCCGUAGUUUCUCCGUUUGACCAGGUUCUGAGGUUUGGAGAAGAGAUCCUCUCCAGAGAUUAUCCAGAUGGGCCUCUCUAACCAAGCUAGCCUCAAACUCUCUAUGUAGCUGGUGAUGACCUUGAACCUCUGUCCUCUCCUUCCAUGUCCCAAGUGCUCAGGUUACAGGUAUGAGUGUUUUGUCUACGUGUAUGUCUGUGUACCAACACAGGUCAGAAGAGGGCAUCUCAUCCCCUGGAACUGGAGUUACACGUGAUUGUAAGCCAGUGAUUACGGGUGCUGGGAACCAAACUUGGGUUCUCUAGAAGAGCAGCAAGUAUUCUCAACUGAUGAGCCAUCUCUCUAGUCCCGUUACCUCCUUUUCUUUUCCUGUGCUGGUGACUGAACCCAGGGCUUUGUGGCUGCUAGGCAAGCAAUCUACCAACUGAGCCACAUCCCCAGCCAUUGGUUUUGAAUUUAAAACAGUUUGAUGAUGUUUAUUUAUGUGCGGGUGGGUGUACACCACACCAGGUGUGUGGGUCAGAAGACAGCUCUUAGGAGUUCUGGGUCAAACUCUGCUGUGGGAUGUUCUGUAUGGCAAAUGUGUUGCUGAUUCGUCAAUAAAUAAAUCACUGAUUGGUCAGUGGCUAGGCAGGAAGUGUAGGCGGGACAAGGAGGAGAAUAAAGCUGGGAAGUGGAAGGCUGAGAGAGACACUGCCAGCCACCACGAUGACAAACACCAUGUGAAGAUGCUGGUAAGCCACGAGCCAUGUGGCAA